AUUGAACGCUGGCGGCAUGCCUUACACAUGCAAGUCGAACGGUAACAGGUCUUCGGACGCUGACGAGUGGCGAACGGGUGAGUAAUACAUCGGAACGUGCCCAGUCGUGGGGGAUAACUACUCGAAAGAGUAGCUAAUACCGCAUACGAUCUGAGGAUGAAAGCGGGGGACCUUCGGGCCUCGCGCGAUUGGAGCGGCCGAUGGCAGAUUAGGUAGUUGGUGGGAUAAAAGCUUACCAAGCCGACGAUCUGUAGCUGGUCUGAGAGGACGACCAGCCACACUGGGACUGAGACACGGCCCAGACUCCUACGGGAGGCAGCAGUGGGGAAUUUUGGACAAUGGGCGAAAGCCUGAUCCAGCAAUGCCGCGUGCAGGAUGAAGGCCUUCGGGUUGUAAACUGCUUUUGUACGGAACGAAAAAGUCUCCUCUAAUACAGGAGGCCCAUGACGGUACCGUAAGAAUAAGCACCGGCUAACUACGUGCCAGCAGCCGCCGUAAUAC
rnacentral:rRNA from 1 species